CUCAUAAGGGUGUAUGGUGGAUGCCUUGGGAUAUUGAGGCGAAGAAGGACGUGGCGUAACUGCGAUAAGCCUCGGGGAGGUGUGUAGCAACCUUUGAUCCGGGGAUUUCCGAAUGGGGAAACCCAACAUGGCCUUAAACCAUGUUACCGCGCUGUUUUACGGCGCGGAGCGAACUCGGCGAAGUGAAACAUCUCAGUAGCCGGAGGAAAAGAGAAAGAUUUUUAUUCCCCCAGUAGCGGCGAGCGAAAAGGGAAGAGCCUAAACUUUUAAAAAUUUUCGCAAGAAAAUUUUUAAAGGGGUUGUAAGAUAAUGACGUCGGAGGAAGCUUGUUUUACAAGCAGAUUCCGGGGAGUGAAAAAGUUAAGACUUCCUUAGUUGAAGGAGGUUGGAAAACCCCACCACAGAGGGUAAUAGUCCCGUAAGCGAAAAGGGUCUUAUACUCCCAGUCAUUAAUCUUGAGUACGGCGAGAAACGAUAAACUCGUCGGAAGCAGGCAGAACUAUUCUGCCAAGGCUAAAUACUCAAUAUCACCGAUAGUGAACUAGUACCGUGAGGGAAAGGUGAAAAGCAGCCCGAUGAGGGCGGUGAAAUAGUACCUGAAACCAUAUACCUACAAAGAGUCGGAGGUCGCCUUUGGCGACUGACGGCGUGCUUUUUGCAGAACGACCCAACGAGUUUUUGCGUUUUCUUUGUCUAAGUCCGACAGGACGGAGGCAGAGGGAAACCGAGUGUGAAUAGCGCGAUUAUAAGAGAACGCAAAAGACCCGAAGCCAAGCGAGCUACCCAUGGCCAGGAUGAAUCCAGAUUAAAAUCUGGAGGAGGUCCGAACCCACCAGCCGAGCAAUACUGGGGGAUGAGUUGUGGGUAGAAGUGAAAAGCUAAUCGAGCUUGGUAAUAGCUGGUUCUCCUCGAAAUAGCUUUAGGGCUAGCCUCUUAUGUUCCUCUUGGGGGUAGAGCACUGAAUGGGUUAAGGUGGCGCAAGCCUACUUACCCAAUCAAACUCCGAAUACCAAGAGUUAAAAUAGGGGAGUAAGACUGCGAGGGCUAAGCUUCGUAGUCAAAAGGGAAACAGCCCAGAUCGUCAUCUAAGGUCCCUAAACUAAGUUAAGUGUGAAAAGAAGUGUUUUGUCUUAGACAGAUGGGAUGUUAGCUUAGAAGUAGCUACCAUUUAAAGAGUGUGUAACAACUCACCAUUCUAUGUCCGCCAAUCGGCGGAAUCUAUGACAAAACGCGCUGAAAAUGUAUCGGGGCUCAAACUUAGUACCGAAGAUACGGAUUUCUCCGCCUCUGGCGGAGAAAUGGUAGAGGAGCAUUUCUUGCGCUGCGAAGCUUCAUUGCAAGAUGGGGUGGAGCGCAAGGAAGAGAGAAUGUUGGGAUGAGUAACCGCAAGUCCGAUGCGAAAUCGGACCACCGAAAACCCAAGGUUUCCUUGGCAAUGGAAAUCAGCCAAGGGUUAGGCGGGCCUAAGGCGAUCCCGAAAGGGGAAGCUGAUGGGCAGGGCGUUAAUAUUCGUCCCCCUCCUCAUUUUGCGAAGGAAUGACGAAAUUUGGUAAUUUGGGCGCGUUAUUGGAUUCGCGUUAUUGGCUCAAGGAUUUCUGUUGGGCAAAUCCGGCAGAACACAAAUUCAAGAGUCAACAAAAGUUUCAGCUUCGGCUGGGACAAUUCAAAUGAGCAAGUUUCCGAGAAAAGUUUCUAGCCUGCCGCAAGACAGAAAAAAUGGGGAGUCCGUACCGUAAACCGACACAGGUGGGUGAGGCGAGAAGCCUAAGGUGAACGGGUGAAACCUCGUUAAGGAACUCGGCAAAACAGCGGCCGUAAGUUCGCGAUAAGGCCUGCCUCGAUUUAUCGAGGCCGCAGCAAAAGAUCCCUAGCGACUGUUUACUAAAAACACAGGUCCCUGCUAACUCGUAAGAGGAUGUAUAGGGGCUGACGCUUGACCAGUGCUAGAAGGUUAACGGUGGGGGUGAGUCUAACGCAAGUUAGACAAGCUCACUGCCCGAAGCCCUAGUGAACGUCGGCGAUAACUAUAAUCGUCCUAAGGUACCGAAAUUCCUUGGCAUGUAAGUUAUGUCCUGCAGGAAAAGCGUAACGACUGGGGAACUGUCUCAACGAGGAGCCCGGUGAAAAUGCAGUGGGGGUGAAGAUGCCCCCUACCUGCGGUAAGACGGAAAGACCCCGGGAGCUUUACUAUAAGUUCUUAUUGGCUUAUCGUUUUGGAUGCGUAGUAUAGUGGGGAGACUGUGAAGUCCCGACUUCGGUUGGGAUGGAGUCGUCAGUGAAAUACCCAUCUUUCAAAACGAUAAAUCUAACCUUUCUUUUCAAAGAAGAAGGGGACAGUGAGUGCUGGGUAGUUUAAGUGGGGCGCUUGCCUCCUAAAAGGUAACGGAGGCGUUUAUCAAGGUCAGCUAGCUCCGGAUGGAAAUCGGAGCGGUAGUGCAAAGGCAAAAGCUGGCUUUACUGCAAGACGGACAUGUCGCGCAGUUGCGAAAGCAGAACUUAGUGAACCGACCCUUGAUUAUAGAAUCGGGGAAGACAUCGGACAAAAGCUACCCCGGGGAUAACAGGCUGGUAGGUGCUGAGAGCCCACAUCGACGCACCUGUUCGGCACCUCGAUGUCGGCUCAUCCUAUCCUGGGGCUGGAGAAGGUCCCAAGGGUUUGGCUGUUCGCCAAUUAAAAGGGUACGUGAGCUGGGUUUAAACCGUCGGCAAAAACUCGUUUCUGUUAGCGAGUUUGGCGGCUUCCGAUAGCGAUAUCGGAAUGAAAAAAUCGACUCAUAUCGGUGAAGUCCUAUCAUUAUAUUAAAAUAUAAACCUGUCGUAUGAUAGGAUAAUACCGAGGGAAGCUGUAAAUUAUUUCUUCUAUUUCGAUUAACAAAAUCAAUUGGUCUUAUUUGGCCGGAUUCUUAGAUGGAGAUGGCAGCAUAACGGAAGAAAAUAAUUUAUUAGCCCCGUAGAGACUUGGUCGAUCUUGGUCGACCAGAGCUUAACUAUUUAUUGUUAGGCUAAUACGUCGAUCUUCUUAUUAACCUAAGAAGGUGGUAUAGUCCAUACACUUAGUAAUAAGUGACAAAUAUGCGUGAGACAGGUUGGACCCUAUCUACCGUAGGCGCAGAUACUUGAGAGAUCUUGUCCCUAGUACGAGAGGACCGGGAUGAACGAACCUCUGGUGUACCAGCUGUCCUGCCAAGGGCACUGCUGGGUAGCUAUGUUCGGCAGAGAUAAGCGCUGAAAGCAUCUAAGCGCGAAGCUCUUCUCAAGAUUAGGUAUCAUAGAUUGGUCGUAGACUACGACCUUGAUAGGCUUCAGGUGGAAGUCCAGUAAUGGAUUAAGCCGAGAAGUACUAAUAAAUCGUUUUGACCUGUUU
rnacentral:rRNA from 1 species